rnacentral:misc_RNA from 1 species
GCACUAACACAUUAAAAAAAAUACAGCCCCAAGAUAUCAGAAUGAAAGAGUAGAAUAAAUAUUAAAAAAAAGGGGGGAAUUGCAAAUGUUCUUCAGCAUGAAUCAAGAAACUCCAUUAAUUCUCGCAGCCUAUCAACACAAAUGAAGAUGCAUCAUCUCAUUUACAUCCCCACCCCUUCCAGUAAAUUAUUUUCUCCAAACAAAACAAACAAAGAUCCAGUUAUAACUUGCUGCUUAACUUUAUAAUUCUAUCGAGCAAAGAUCCAUUUAUAACUUGCACUUCUUUCCAAUAAUGUUUGCAGAAAAUCAUUUUAUCUAGACAGAGACCUAAAAUAUUGUGGACAGACUCAAAAGAUCUAUAAUUUUUUAAUAUUGAUGGGAAUUGGUCUCAAACAGAGCUAACUUGUGAAAAAAGGAUUCAUAUAGCAAAUCUCAACUAGUUUGGGACUAAGGCUUUGUUG